GACGAACGCUGGCGGCGUGCUUAACACAUGCAAGUCGAACGGUGAAGGUGGAGCUUGCUCCGCCGGAUCAGUGGCGAACGGGUGAGUAACACGUGGGCAACCUGCCCCAGACUUCGGGAUAACUCCUCGAAAGAGGCGCUAAUACCGGAUACGAGUUCUGCAGGCAUCUGCGGAAUUGGAAAGUUUUUCGGUCUGGGAUGGGCCCGCGGCCUAUCAGCUUGUUGGUGAGGUAACGGCUCACCAAGGCGACGACGGGUAGCCGGCCUGAGAGGGCGACCGGCCACACUGGGACUGAGACACGGCCCAGACUCCUACGGGAGGCAGCAGUGGGGAAUAUUGCUCAAUGGGCGAAAGCCUGACGCAGCAACGCCGCGUGCGGGAUGAAGGCCCUCGGGUUGUAAACCGCUUUCAGCAGGGAAGAAGCGAAAGUGACGGUACCUGCAGAAGAAGCACCGGCUAACUACGUGCCAGCAGCCGCGGUAA
rnacentral:rRNA from 1 species